AUCCCUUUAAGAAUAGCAGCAUAUGUAUCAAAGCUGGAAUGAUACAGAGAAGAUUAGCGUGGCCCCUGUGCAAGGAUGACAUGCAAUUUGUAGAGCAUUCCAUAAAAAAA